CGGCCUUUACGUUCUUAAUACGCUUCAGAGUCAGAACAGAAGAAGCAGCCUCGGCCUGCAGCGCUAAACACUGAACCGUACUAACGGCUGGCUGGACAUAUAUUUUACUCUGUGCUGAGGUGAACCAGAUUGCAUGGUGCUGAUGCAUCAUGGAAAACCAGAGGGAUGAACGUUCAGCUCACAAGGACAUCUUCAAAACCAGCCUAUUGAGAGUGGACACAUUGAUUCGCACAUGAAAACCAUUAUGUGACUGGAUAUAGCUUUAUUGAUGCUUGCACAUUGGAAAGCGAUGCCCUCACGGAUCAUCAUGGAAAAGCAGAAAUCAGUGAAUGCUGUUACUUCAACAAAAUUGAGUGGAGAAUCUUGUACCUUUAUCUGCACAGAGUGCGGUGAUGGGUUCAGUCAGUACUCUUAUCUUUUGAGCCACAUGACUACUCAUGGACCAUUGGAGUCAUUUUCCUUUGAUGGCUCAUCAAAUGGAUUUGAAAUCCCUCGGGAAUAUGUGCUGCAAGAAAAUGGCACACUGACAGUUGUGAACGGCUUGGAGUUACAAUCUUCUGUAAAACCAGUAUCUCCUGGAAUCCUGCCAUCUCAUGUCCCAUCUGCCAUAAAACGCAUGUCUCCAACUCUGAAGCCACAGCCAAGGCCAUCUGACUUGAACCUAGAUAAGUCCCGACAGGGACAUUGCCGUUGUGAAAUAUGUAGCAGAUCAUUUAACAGCCUGCAGAGUUUGCAUCGUCACCAGCAGUAUCGAAACACAGAGCGAGGUUAUAAGUGUACUUUGUGUUGUAAAAUAUUUGAAGGUAGACAGGACCUUAAGAAACACCUCCAAGACCAUGUCAAUGAAAGGUUUCAUUGCUGUAGUUAUUGUGGAAAGCGAUUCCUUCAAAUAGAUGCACUCAAUGCUCAUCACAAAGAAAAUCACCUCCCCAAGGCUACAGCUUUGGAUGGAUGUGUGAAUAGGCAGGAAAAUAAUAUGGAGAAAUCAUAUCCUUGCAGGAAGUGCAAGUUGAAUUUUUUCUGGAUGUCAGAUUUUCAGAUCCAUUCAAUGCAUCAUUGCAAAGGAAAAGAUCCUGAAGAAACAUUAGCAUCCAAAAUGGAAUUGAAGUCUAAGGACAUAGAAGACACACCACUUCAAAACGUCUAUAGUAAUGGGACAUCUAUUGAUGUAAAUAUUGAAGAUAGUAAAAUCUUUAGGGAUACUAGCAAUAAGAUUGUUGCUGAUUUCUCUCCCACACCAUACAGAUGCGGUUUGUGUGGUGAUCGUUUCCAAAGGUUAACAUCUCUAAAGGAGCAUCACCGCACACAUCAAACUCAGGAGGAAAUAGAUAAGCUGAAUCAAGAAUCAGAAAAAACAAUUAAGCGAAGAAUGCCGCCUAAAGGCAGACGUAGAAGGACGAGUAAUCCAAAUGGCAAGCUGCAUCCUUGCAAGCAAUGUCAUCGUGUUUUUAACCAUUCUAGCAGUUUAUCUCGGCACAUGAGAUACCAUAAGGGUACUAUGCACACAUGUGUAUUUUGUGGUAGACAUUUCCCACAGCGCUGUGAUUUAAGAAGGCAUCUAGCCAUGUAUCACAAAGCUGAAUCGGAAAAGAAACCAGGUUUGAAACACUUGUUCCCAAAUCCACAAAAUGGGCCAGACACCAGUUCUUUCAAUGGUGAGAUAAACGCAGACUCUCCUGAUGAGAAAACCAAGAGCUCCUCUGACAAUGAACAAAUGUCCUCACCAGAGCAGCAAACAAAGAGCAAACAAUCAGGAAAAGCUGGCCGAGUUAACUAUAAGUGCCAAGAAUGUGGAAAGAGAUUUGGGCUGCUAUGUGUGUACCAACGGCACUUGCGCUAUCACAAAAAGGAACCUAGUAAGUCCUCGAGGUAUCCAGCUCAAUUCAAGAACAGUUUGUCCCUUGAGCUUCAGCUUCAGAAUCACCCAAGCCCUGGAGAUGCAAAUGAUGUUCAACAAACAUUUUACAGCAGAAGGGACGCUGUUUUAGAAAAGGGGAAUGUAGAGGAUAUAGACGAUGACUAUAUGGACCAUACCCGAAAUGACAAAGGAAAUUCCUCAGAGGUCCUUUACGAAUGUACUGAGUGCACCGAGACAUUCUCAUGCUUGGACACAUUCCUUCAGCACCAGACUUCUCAUGGCUCAGAAAACGGGUAACUAUCUUGUCAACCCCAAUAGUAACUGUAAUUGCCAACAACCAAGCUCUCAGGAGUUGUCUUUUUGACUUUUUGAAUACAAGUAUUUCAAUAACAGUAUGAUGUAAAGUUUGUAACAUUUUUUUGACCAUGUACUUUAAUACACGUUUCUUUGGCAUGAGAAGAUUUGUUUGUUAGUCAUUAAAUAUCAAAAACCAAUGGGAACCAGAAAACAGGGCUCGGUGGGAAAAUGAAUGUGAAUUCAAUUCAAACUGUAAAAAACAGCAUAUGUCAUCAGUAAACUGCGAGUACAGUGUGGUUUAGUGCAAGAUUAAAUCUGGUAUCAGUGUUUCCCACAGAUCUGAAGGCAAUCGGGUGAGGGGGGGUCGGUAAAAAUAAAAAUUUACCUCAAACUUGCGACUAUAGUUAGCCUAACUUUAUAAAGAAGGCGUAAUCGCUUGUUUGCUAUGGGUCGGGUCGGGACGGGACAACAUUGUAUUCAAAAUAUAAAAUAUUUAUAUAGGACUUUUUAAUGUGUGAUUUUAUAAAGGUGCACGUGAUACCAACCUUUCGUUGAAUUUCGCCAGCCGUCUUCUCUUCACUAAGGCACAGCUUUCACGCUUCCAGGGAUGAUAUCGCUGAUGGAGACAUGUAGUGUGCACGGAGGGGAGGGGCUGUGUGUGUGCAGGCUAUGUGAGAGAGACGCGUGACUGACAGAGAGACGGAGGGAGAGCAGGGAAAGGAAAUGCAGCUUAACGAAUACGAUGCGUAUUUUUUAAAUAGCGUUAAAAAAAAUAAUAAUAACGAAACGCAAUGUGUGGCGGCCGGUGAUGAAUCUGUGGCGCACCGCCACAAAUUAGUCUAUGUGUGGGAAACACUGGGUAUUCUCCAACAGACUACAGGUUUAGUAAACAUAGGUCCCACAAAUUACUCACUAGCUAGGACGAAUACAUUGUAUUUUUUGUGGCUAAUCAUGAUCUUCUUGUCAAUCAUAUUGCUGAUUUCUUUAAAAUACUUUGUAUGUGGUUUUAAGAUUUUCUUUAAUAUGUGAUAUGUAUAUGUCUUCCUUUUCAAAGGGUAGCAUUGCUGCCCGGUGGAUUUUUACUGGUGCCAUUAAAGUCAUACAGAAAAAUUACUUAAAAGUA